rnacentral:rRNA from 1 species
AUUGAACGCUGGCGGCAGGCCUAACACAUGCAAGUCGAACGAGUGGCGGACGGGUGAGUAAUGCUUGGGAAACUGCCUGAUGGAGGGGGAUAACUACGGGAAACUGUAGCUAAUACCGCAUACCAUCAGAUGUGCCCAGAUGGGAUUAGCUAGUUGGUGGGGUAACGGCUCACCAAGGCGACGAUCCCUAGCUGGUCUGAGAGGAUGACCAGCCACACUGGAACUGAGACACGGUCCAGACUCCUACGGGAGGCAGCAGUGGGGAAUAUUGCGCAAUGGGUGCAAGCCUGAUGCAGCCAUGCCGCGUGUAUGAAGAAGGCCUUCGGGUUGUAAAGUACUUUCAGCGGGGAGGCGUUACCGGCAGAAGAAGCACCGGCUAACUCCGUGCCAGCCGCCGCGGUAAUUC